CAUGAAAAACAGUAGGGAAGCAAUGGUAUAUGUAUUUGACAAUGAGUUGGAAAACAAAACCAUGUGAUACCUCAUCUGCUAUUGUCAAUCAACAGUGCAACAAAUGCCUCUCCACCAGUGAAAUCUUACAUACGAUUGACUAGUUUUCUCUUAUAGUUCUUAUAUAAAUGGGGACACAGUUUCCAUCUGGGGUAUGUUUUGGUCCAAUGAAUCAUCAUAUGGCACCACAUCAUAUUUAUGGAUUUGAUUCUAAGAAAUUCUUUUGUCUCUUGAGAUUUUACCACUGAUGUCCAGCCCAAAUGGCUCUUCACCACAAGUCAUGAGAUUUUACGACUUUCCAUUUGCUUAUAUAAACAUGUUUUGAGAAGUUCCACACCAUCACAGCUAUCCACAAAACUAGAGAACUACUCGAAAUUUCUCUUCAUCCUUUACUCAUCUUAAAUAAAAGAUCAUGGCUAUCCGUAUGCCUCGUAUUAUCAAGAAGUCUUCUACAACUGGAGAUGUUCCCAAGGGAUAUUUUGCUGUUUAUGUUGGGGAGAACUUCUGGGAAUUCUCUAACAACUGGCAUAGACGGAAGAGCUGGUGGUUCUGAUUCUGGAUUAAUGAUGUGAGCCAAAUAGGCAAGACACCCCUUACUGAUCAUUUGUUGUGCUUUAAGCUUGGACCAGAUUCAAGUUCAGACAUUUCUUCUCUUGGUUAUUAGUUCUGAGGUCCACACUUGCUCAGCAGUGGCACAACUUAAGUAGACACUGGUUGGUUUUGCUCUUAUUUGACCUUCUUAUUGAUAAAUGAAUCUGGAAAAAUAUUCUAACUUUAUCCAAUUCUCUAUUAUUUCAAGUUGUAAUAUGGCCAAAUUUUCAUGACAUUUGCCAUGACAUAAUAUCUAUUAUAACAAAUUUGUUGUU